rnacentral:misc_RNA from 1 species
UCCGGUUUGGCACCGGCAGUCUCACUAGAGUGCCCGGCAUAACCCGCUGGUAACUAGUGACAAGGGUUGCGCUCGUUGCGGGACUUAACCCAACAUCUCACGACACGAGCUGACGACAGCCAUGCAGCACCUGUGAACGAGCUCCGAAGAGCCCCGCAGGUUUCCCCGCGAGUUCCCGUCCAUGUCAAGCCUAGGUAAGGUUCUUCGCGUUGCGUCGAAUUAAACCACAUGCUCCACCGCUUGUGCGGGCCCCCGUCAAUUCCUUUGAGUUUCAACCUUGCGGUCGUACUCCCCAGGCGGGGUACUUCCUGCGUUAGCGCCGGCACCCAGAGGGUCGCUCCCCCAGGCACCUAGUACCCAUCGUUUACGGCGUGGACUAC